AUCUGUUCUUAGCAGUUUAAUAUCUGAUGUGUGGUUCAUAGAACCAUAUGAUAUUAAAUGUAUUCUUCUAGGGGGAGGGUUCGGUUCACAUACAGUAGCUUGCUAGGACUCUCGAGCGUCGCUUGUGCGUUGCACUACAGCUCAAGCCUGGCGCACCCCAA
rnacentral:snRNA from 1 species